rnacentral:rRNA from 1 species
CAACUUUCAACAACGGAUCUCUUGGCUCUCGCAUCAAUGAAGAAUGCAGCGAAAUACGAUAUGUAAUGUGAAUUGCAGAAUUCAGUGAAUCAUCAAAUCUUUGAAUGCACCUUGCGCCCUUGGCAUUCUGAGGGGCACACCCAUUUGAGUGUUGUGA